UCCGUCCGGGCGGCCGUGACCCUGCUGGAGUCCGGGGGGGACCUCCAGCCCCCCGGGGGGUCCCUGCGCCUCCUCUGCCGAGGACAAGGAUUCCAGUUUGGGAGUUUUUGGAUGGGCUGGUAUCGCCAGAGACCCGGGAAGGCGCUGGAAUACGUCGCACAGAUCAGCAGCGAUGGUGGUUACACGUACUACGCAUCGUCCGUGCGUGGCCGGUUCACCAUCAGCAGGGACAACGGGCAGAGCUCGGUGACGCUGAGCAUGAACAACCUCCAGGACGAGGAUUCCGGGGUUUAUUUCUGUGCCAAACCGGCUGUGGCUGGCUGGGGUGCUGCUGCUGGUAAUGGUGAUGGUAGCUGUGCCUGA